rnacentral:rRNA from 1 species
AGUGAACGCUGGCGGUAGGCCUAACACAUGCAAGUCGAACGGCAGCACAGUAAGAGCUUGCUCUUACGGGUGGCGAGUGGCGGACGGGUGAGGAAUACAUCGGAAUCUACUUUUUCGUGGGGGAUAACGUAGGGAAACUUACGCUAAUACCGCAUACGACCUACGGGUGAAAGCAGGGGAUCUUCGGACCUUGCGCGAUUGAACGAGCCGAUGUCGGAUUAGCUAGUUGGCGGGGUAAAGGCCCACCAAGGCGACGAUCCGUAGCUGGUCUGAGAGGAUGAUCAGCCACACUGGAACUGAGACACGGUCCAGACUCCUACGGGAGGCAGCAGUGGGGAAUAUUGGACAAUGGGCGCAAGCCUGAUCCAGCCAUACCGCGUGAGUGAAGAAGGCCUUCGGGUUGUAAAGCCCUUUUGUUGGGAAAGAAAAGCAGCAGGUUAAUACCCCGCUGUUCUGACGGUACCCAAAGAAUAAGCACCGGCUAACUUCGUG